rnacentral:pre_miRNA from 1 species
AAUAUACUCCCUCCGUCCCAUAUUAAGUGACGAAAUAUUACAUGUAUCUAAACGCCUUUUGGAUAUAGAUACAUUCAUAUUUGAACAAAUUUGAAUCACUUGAUAUGGGACGGAGGGAGUACAAU